UACGGAGGGUGCAAGCGUUAUCCGGAUUCACUGGGUUUAAAGGGUGCGUAGGUGGGUCUGUAAGUCAGUGGUGAAAUCCCCGAGCUUAACUUGGGAACUGCCGUUGAUACUAUAGAUCUUGAAUAUCGUGGAGGUAAGCGGAAUAUGUCAUGUAGCGGUGAAAUGCUUAGAUAUGACAUAGAACACCAAUUGCGAAGGCAGCUCGCUACACGAAUAUUGACUCUGAGGCACGAAAGCGUGGGGAUCAAACAGG
rnacentral:rRNA from 1 species